AUUGAACGCUGGCGGCAGGCCUAACACAUGCAAGUCGAACGAGUGGCGGACGGGUGAGUAAUGUCUGGGAAACUGCCUGAUGGAGGGGGAUAACUACUGGAAACGGUAGCUAAUACCGCAUACCAUCAGAUGUGCCCAGAUGGGAUUAGCUAGUUGGUGGGGUAACGGCUCACCAAGGCGACGAUCCCUAGCUGGUCUGAGAGGAUGACCCAGCACCAUGGAACGGUGACACGGUUCAAACUCCUUAGGGAGGCAGAAGGGGGAAAUAUGCAACAAUGGGCGAAACCUUGAUGCAGCCAGCCGGGGUGUAGAAAGAGGCCUUCGGGUUGUAAAGUACUUUCAGCGGGGAGGCGUUACCCGCAGAAGAAGCACCGGCUAACUCCGUGCCAGCCGCCGCGGUAAUAC
rnacentral:rRNA from 1 species